rnacentral:sRNA from 1 species
AAAAACAAGAAGAAGAAUCUU